CCUUCUCAAACAAUUCUGUUUGGUAGUGAGUGAUACUCUAACUAGGGUUAACUUGAAAUUGAUAGCCUGUUUUGGUUGUGAUUUUGCUGGCUUGGAUGAUUUUGUCCAGUCUAGCUGAUACCGAAUUGUCGUAUUAGGUUUUACCAACUUCGACAGAUAGUGUGUUAGUUUGGGCGUUAUAAAGACAAGGUCGUAAACGAUUUAUCGUUUGUUUAAGUUUUUGCAUGCGCAAUCCGGCGAACAAUACUCUCAAA
rnacentral:misc_RNA from 1 species